UGUGGGGGGAAAAAGAAAGACAGGCUAACAAGAACAAACAAGAGGAUUUUGUGGGAAGAAUAAGCUGAAAGGAAUGGAUAACAAUAGGGAUGGUAGGCAAGGGUAAAUAGGAAAGGAUUGAAUAGAACUUGGUGGCAAGAGGCUACC